AGGUGGCGCUGGCGCCAAUCGGCCGCUGGGGCCCUGUCCUCGACCCCCACCCCCACACACACCUCCCCUUCACUGGCGCCAGGGGGACGGAGGACACAGGAACCCUUUCGCGCCCCCAGUGCCGUCUGCGCUGCUGCCCCAGACGCAGAUACGGCGCCCGGAGGCCUCACAGGGGUUGGGGCUGGGAGCGGCGACCUGGGGCCACGUAGCCCCUAGCCCCCAGCGCCAUCUCCUCGGUCCCUAGGCUCUGUCGCGCCUAAAGCCCCGAGUCCCCGCAGCCUGUGAAGACCCGCGGAGGACCGCGCGGUUUGGAGAGAGGGCGCCAAAGGCGACGCGCCGGCGGCCAGCCCCAGGCCAAACCCAGUGCGUCUGCAGGAACCUCUGCAGGAACCGGCCCCUUCACCCCUGCGUGGGACCCGGAGCUGCGCGAAGAUCUUUCUCGUUCAGCGCAGACUCAACACCAAGACGCCGCCUAGAGGUCAGCCGCGGCCACAGCCUCACCCGCCAGCGACCACAGAGCUGGAGCCCCAAGCCGUGGCCAGAAAUGGGGGCGCGGGUGGGGUGGAGUCGGGUGGGGAAUCCAGCCCAGGUCUCAGGGACGUGGCUGCCUGCACCUCUGACUUCUCUGAGACACCCCUCCCCGCUCCGCCCUUGCCAACGAGCCCUGAGAGGGACCAGGAAGGCCUAGAAAUAUUUAUUCUUAUGUCUCUUCCUAAAUGAAAAGGAGUGAUAAUUUCCGUUUCUCCCAGGACCCCGUGUUCAUACUGCCUUCUCCCGCUAUCCAAAUUGUCCAGCCCCCUCCAGUUAUGCUAAAACUCUGCUCAUCUUCGCCAAGGAAAGGCAGUAGGGGAAAGUGGCCCCUGAAUCUGACAUCAUAGUUAUCCACGUUUUCAACUCUCUGCGUAAUGUGGAGACCGAUAUGCUUUUGGAAAGUCUUCAGAAAACUUUCAAGGGUGAAAAGAAACAUCGCCUGAGUGGUCUUUACUCACCGAGUGGCCAUCAGCUGGACUAGUGUGAAGGGGCCAGGGGGCACCCUCACCACCUGCAGCAGAGUGAGACCGCCUGCAUCAGAGUCAGCCUUUCAGAAGAUUCAGGAACUGUAGCCCACAGCCUAGUAUUUCCCCUGCCUAUUCCACUUUUACCCAUUUAAAAAGAAAUCCCCAGCCGCGCUUUGGCACCAUUUCUGGGAAGGAGGGGGCAUGGAGGGCCGCACCUGUGUGUCUGUGGAAGGAAGGUGCCCUCAGGGCACCAAACUGCCCCCACCCCAGUCUGCAGCUGGGCCCCAGUGUUAUACCCACGCGGGGCAGGGCCUGAGCUCCUCUUGGCCUCCAGCGCCUCUAAGACCUGGCCCUUUGGUGUUUUGUUGGUGAAUGACUGAGUGAGGUGUGACCCCCCAAUUCCUUUGCUCCCCCACCCAGAGCGCAUCUAACCAGGCCCCUCCAGCAGACAAAGUGAGCAGAAAAUCAGUAACUUCGCUCCCAGUCAGCUGGAGCCCAAGGCGCAGGCGGGUUUUUCCUAGUUUUGGUUCACGAAGGCCUAAUGGCGAUUCCAAAUGCGGAGUCCACCAAGUUGUAUAAGAACCCAGCGGUCCAGAGCGGGAAGGAACUGGUACGGAGAGGGCCGUAAAGGUCCAGGUAGUGGCUGUUUCCGUUUGAUCUUGAGGCUUUUUAGGAGCCGGAGAGGAGACGGCGGCAGAGCUCGGCAGAGGCUGAUUGGGACCCUCCUCAGCGCCCGCCGUCACUUGCACUUCCCCGAAGACAGCCCCUCGGUUUCUCCUCUGGAAGCCCCUGCCGGCUCCGGCCUUCUGACCCCCUCUCCGCGUCUCUCCAGUACCUGGCAGUAAACGGGCGGGGCCGGGCAAAGGUCUGGCUGCUGGAGAGGGAAAGAGAAAAAGAAAACAACAAAACCCGCUUUCAGCGGACAGAGGCAGAGCAUGGAGGUCCAGGACGUGGCUGGCAGAGCCGGGGUUUUAGCCUUAGAAAUGCCGGGCGCCUAACUGCUUUGGCGAAGACGGGGAGUGUCGUCUGCGCCGGACGCGAGGGGAUGUAAACCGUUUGAAGUUCAUCAACACGGUGAAGUUUUAUUGUAUUUCCGGUCCCCAAGAUUUAUACCCGGGAGGGGGAGCGGGCGGCCAGGCGGACUUCUCCGCUCCCUAGGACUUCCCCGCCGGACAC